AUUGAACGCUGGCGGCAUGCUUUACACAUGCAAGUCGAACGGCAGCACGGACUUCGGUCUGGUGGCGAGUGGCGAACGGGCGAGUAAUACAUCGGAACGUGCCCAGUUGUGGGGGAUAACUACUCGAAAGAGUAGCUAAUACCGCAUGAGAACUGAGGUUGAAAGCAGGGGAUCGUAAGACCUUGCGCAACUGGAGCGGCCGAUGGCAGAUUAGGCAGUUGGUGGGAUAAAAGCUUACCAAGCCGACGAUCUGUAGCUGGUCUGAGAGGACGGCCAGCACAAGUGUGGCUGAAACACGGCCCAGAGUCCUACGGGAGGCAGAAGUGGGGAAUUUUGAAAAAGGGGCGAAAGCGUGAUCCAGCAAUGCCGCGUGCGGGAUGGAGGCCUUCGGGUUGUAAACUGCUUUUGUACGGAACGAAAAGCUUCGGGCUAAUACCCUGGAGUCAUGACGGUACCGUAAGAAUAAGCACCGGCUAAGUACGUGCCAGCAGCCGCGGUAACAC
rnacentral:rRNA from 1 species